UACAGAGGGUGCGAGCGUUGUCCGGAAUCACUGGGCGUAAAGGGCGCGUAGGCGGUGUGCCAAGUCAGGCGUGAAAGCCCCGGGCUCAACCUGGGAACGGCGCUUGAGACUGGCACGCUCGAGUUCGGGAGAGGAUGGUGGAAUUCCCAGUGUAGAGGUGAAAUUCGUAGAUAUUGGGAAGAACACCGAUGGCGAAGGCAGCCAUCUGGACCGACACUGACGCUGAGGCGCGAAAGCGUGGGGAGCAAACAGG
rnacentral:rRNA from 1 species